rnacentral:misc_RNA from 1 species
UUUCCGUAGGUGAACCUGCGGAAGGAUCAUUAUUGUAUAACCGAGGUGCGAGGGCAGUCGCUGACCCGAAAGGUCGUGCACGCCCGAGUGCCCUCACACACAUCCAUCUCACCCCUAUGUGCACCACCGCGUGGGUCCCCCCUUGGCUUGUUCGGAGGGGGGCUUACGUUUUCACACAAACUUUGUAUGCAGUGUAGAAUGUAUUUUUUGUUUUUGCGAUCACGCAAUCAAUACAACUUUCAACAACGGAUCUCUUGGCUCUC